CCAGACGUAGUGUAACGAAACACGGCCUCUCAUAAAAAUAGGUAGGAGCUGACGCGCAGAAACAUAAUACUGAGGCAACUCCGGGUUCGAUUCCCGGCGUCUGGC